GGUACACUGAAUCCAGCCUUUCUGAGUAGACAGUGAAAUUUUUUGAUGCUAUUGAGAGGAGACCCCUUACAGUGCAAAGCAAUGUGGACAUUUUGGGUUGAGAAGGAGGCUUUAGUGAGCAUUUCUGGGGGACACUCAGAUGGUAGGUGGAAUAAUCAGAAACUGCUAUUCCACCUCCAAUUGAUUAUAGAGAGAGGUUAGGCUUCUGAUAUAUUUCAGCUAAGAAAGGCAAGUAAAACGGGAUGAAUCCAGGCCAUCGUGUUCAGCAAGGUAGAAGACUCUACACUUGCUCUUGUUAAACCUUGUCAGAUUCCUUCCUGCUCAACUCUUCAGUUUGUCCAGAUCUUGUUGAGUGGCAGCAGAGCCUUUAGGAGAAAGACAGAUGUGCUCCUCUCUCUGAUUCAGAUUGAGGUCUUUGAAGAAAACUGCAUCAACUCAUCUGACCAGAAGAUGAUGGUGAAACUGAGGAGAGACUUACUUAUGUCUUUCCUGAGACCAGGCUGUUGAGUGACUGGAAAUGUUCCUGAAGAGUGUAUGCUAUGGCAGGAGGCACCUGACUUAAAAGCGCAUACAGACUAAUGACUUCAGUCUUGAAGAUUUUUAUUUGCCCUCAUACUGUAAGGAAUUUAGGCACAAUCCAAUUUAUGCAUGAUCUGCUGAAGGAUCAAGCUCACUGGAAACACUGCACAAAAGGCAUUUACAGAGGGAACUUCUGAGCACAGAAGGUCAGCUCUAUUAUUGAUAAUUAUUUAAUUUUAGAGAGAAGAUCAUGCAACAUCGUACACUGUAUCAUUCAGUUUUGUUCUUAAAUCCUCCUGAGCAAAUCUAUUUCUUGUUCUUACUUGUUCUAAAUUUGCUUGUGGAUUUCCUCUGGCUUUUUUUUUUUUUCAAACACUGUAAUUAAUUGGGAAGUUGGUGCAUUUUUAUUCUUCUAACUAUUCUUCUAACGUUUUGAAAACACAGCUCUUCAGAUUUAGUGGCAAAACCAGAUCAUGUUAUUGUAACUAACAUUACUGUUAGUUAUUUGUUAUGUUUCUUAUGUUAAUUAUGUUAUUAUGACAUUAUUGUAACUAACAAGUCAGAAGCCAUGUUGCAUUUAAGGGUUGUGAAGAAAUCUAUUUGCAUAUCCUUCAAUAUGGACCUUUUUUUCUACCAAGUGAAUUGCCUGUUCACUUAGUAUUACAGCAAAAAUGGCUUUUAGAAAAUUACCUGUUAGGAAAGAAGGUACUACUGCUCCCAAUUAAGUACUUGCCAUUCAGCAAUCUAAGAGGCAGAACUUUAAUGGAAAUUUUCUGAAAAGCUUUCUCCCACUAGAAGAUUUCAACCAGUAUUCAAAACAUUUUGCUACAUGAUGGGGGAAACUCAAUGUGUAGUACUCUGGCUGAUUCUCACCUGUAUGGUGACACAGAGCUACAGGAACAAUUUACAGGUAUCUGAUAUUGUGAGAAAAGCCCCCAAGCUGUGUAACUUCUUGCCUCCACAAGGUUUUCUUUCCUAAAUGCUGCCUGAAUGGGGCUUAUUUGUUAAAGAAUAUUUUCUGUAGCUUCAACAACUUUUUUUUUGUUAAAGCAUUCAUUAUUUAAAAAAGAAAGAGGGGGGGGGAGUGCUUUUCAUUGAAAAGAUAACCUUCACAAUUUUUCCAGAUUAUGAAACAACAAAUUACUUUUGCUCAUAUAAAAAUGUGGACAAAACUUGUACAGGAAGUACAAGAAAUUGGAGAAAAUUUUUUACAUUUUUCAUUUAGUUUCCAACUCGUUCUUGCUUUCACUCUUCAAUAAAAACAGUGUGUUCAAGGAUACACUGUUAGUAUUGUGGGUAUUGUCUUAUAGCAGUAAAAAGAAAACUUACUAGAGGUAUCAGUUCAAAAAGUUAGAAUGUGAUUUUUACAUAUUAAAAGUUUAAUUUUCCAUUG